rnacentral:rRNA from 1 species
UUGGAGGGCAAGUCUGGUGCCAGCAGCCGCGGUAAUUCCAGCUCCAAUAGCGUAUAUUAAAGUUGUUGCAGUUAAAAAGCUCGUAGUUGAAUUUCGGGGUUAGUAGGUUGGUCAUGCCUCUGGUAUGUACUGGUCUCACUGAUUCCUCCUUCCUGAUGAACCGUAAUGCCAUUAAUUUGGUGUUGCGGGGAAUUUGGACUGUUACUUUGAAAAAAUUAGAGUGUUUAAAGCAAGCUAACGCUUGAAUACAUUAGCAUGGAAUAAUGAAAUAGGACGUUCGAUCCUAUUUUGUUGGUUUCUAGGAUCGACGUAAUGAUUAAUAGGGAUAGUUGGGGGCAUUAGUAUUCAAUUGUCAGAGGUGAAAUUCUUGGAUUUAUUGAAGACUAACUACUGCGAAAGCAUUUGCCAAGGAUGUUUUCAUUAAUCAAGAACGAAAGUUAGGGGAUCGAAGACGAUCAGAUACCGUCGUAGUCUUAACCAUAAACUAUGCCGACUAGGGAUCGGAUGAUGUUAAUUUUUUAAUGACUCAUUCGGCGCCUUACGGGAAAC